rnacentral:misc_RNA from 1 species
GAUGAAGAACGUAGCGAAAUGCGAUAAGUAGUGUGAAUUGCAGAAUUCAGUGAAUCAUCGAAUCUUUGAACGCACAUUGCGCCCUUUGGUAUUCCAAAGGGCAUGCCUGUUCGAGCGUCAUUUGUACCCUCAAGCUUUGCUUGGUGUUGGCCGUCUUGUCUCUAGCUUUGCUGGAGACUCGCCUUAAAGUAAUUGGCAGCCGGCCUACUGGUUUCGGAGCGCAGCACAAGUCGCACUCUCUAUCAGCAAAGGUCUAGCAUCCAUUAAGCCUUUUUUUUCAACUUUUGACCUCGGAUCAGGUAGGGAUACCCGCUGAACUUAAGCAUAUCAAAAGCGGAGGA